rnacentral:rRNA from 1 species
CCUACGGGUGGCUGCAGUAAGGAAUAUUGGUCAAUGGAGGGAACUCUGAACCAGCCACGCCGCGUGGAGGAUGAAGGCCCUAUGGGUUGUAAACUUCUUUAGUCUGGGACGAAAAAGGGAGAUUUAUCUUCAACUGACGGUACCAGAAGAAUAAGCACCGGCUAACUCCGUGCCAGCAGCCGCGGUAAUACGGAGGGUGCAAGCGUUAUCCGGAAUCACUGGGUUUAAAGGGUGCGUAGGCGGUUUUAUAAGUCAGCGGUGAAAGCGGGUCGCUC